UUUCCCCUAAAAUAAACACGCGGACACAUCUAGGGUUUCACAUCUCAUCUCAUUCUCCAUCUGCUCUCUCUCUGGAUUCAGAUCUAGGGUUUUGAUUUCAGAGGUAAAGAUUGAAUCAUGAAGAUUUCUCCCAGAUCCGAUUUUGGUCUCGCAGAUCUGGUAAGUUUUGCUACUCACUUAGCCUAAGUUUCAGCAGAUCUGAUAUUAUAAAUAUAAAUUCACCUUAGUUUCGCUCUCUUUACGGUCAUUAAUCAUAAUGUUACGAAUCAAAAGAUGUACCUCAGCUUCUGGACAUCAUCUUUACCAAGGUAGUUAGUUAUUAAAUGUUCAUAUGGCUGGCUGGCUGGCAUUUCAAGUAAUCAUCCACAAUUUGUGUGAAUCAUGAAGAUUUCUCCCAGAUCCGAUUUUGGUCUCGUAGAUCUGAUCUGAGAUCUGAGAUAAUCUCACCAGUGCAUGGAUCAGUACACAUUUGGAAAGCCCGAGCAUUAAAAACCUGCAAUUGCAAAGCUUGAGAUGUAUUAGCUUUUGGAAAGCUUGAGAUGUAUUCCUUUUUCUUAAACCUAUACAGUCAAGACAAAUAUUGAAGACAGUUUCAAGUUUGGCUUUAUUGCUGCUGAUAAAAGAAAAAUAACUGCUACAACUUGGGUACCCAUACUGGCAAUUAGAAUUACGUCGUGGUCACAUACGAAAGGUUAAAAGGAUAGGUAAAAAAGUAAGAAUGGUUGACUUUGAUUAGUGAAACUGAGCCAUUUCAACUCACUAGACCUUGAAGUUGAACCCAACUAUAUUAUUAAUCUUGUUUUUUGAGAGUAAAUAUGUUGGAGAGGAACAAGAGAGAGGAAGCUUGGAGAGGCUGGUUUGAAUCUAAUGGGCAAAACAUCUACUUUUAGCAUACAAUGGAGGAUUCUGAUGUUCUUAUGAUUUGGCUUCGUGUGAGCAAUGGUGGUUGCUUCGGAAUCAUGAAAAGGCAGCAAGCCUGCAUCAAGUGGAUGCAUGUUUCUCUACAAGUGAAGUAAAGACUUGCAGCAGUUACUGAAUACUGCAAGUCCUUUUCUUGUGAUCUCAGGCAACGGCUGACAUCUUAGUAGUGGUUUUAUGUGCUUCAAUACUAUUUGGUGUCGCUCUAACCUGGCCCGACCCGUUUUAACUUUUGGAGGUAUGAUUAAACCUCAGAUUACUUUCAUCUUUUGUUUUUAAUAAACACAGAAGACCUGCCCUUUUGUGACUUUUAGAAAGUCAAACCUGGUAAUUCUCGUAAACUUGAUACACAUAGAGUAGUUUUGUAAUCUUAAUUAUUUCUAUCCUAAUAUAGUGGUUCGUAAUUACCAUAUAUAUGUAUAACAGAUGAGUUAUUUAAUAUCAAUUUUGAUUAAAAAGCAACUGCUCUUGAAAGUCAAAAUUUGACCCAUUUUUUCAAGAGGUUGCUAUUGAUGAUUGAAUUUGU
rnacentral:lncRNA from 1 species